GUGAAAUUGCUUUUGCCAUGCGCCCCGGAAUGCCACCGUGCUCAACACCGUCAUCUGCUGGCUGGAUGAUAAUGAUGAUGAUGGCGUUGACGAUAACAAUGAUGAAGCCUCCGCAUGUUGAACUUCGCCAGACCCAGACAGUUGGUUAUCUCUCAUCACGCUGACAUCUGCCCAGGCUUCAACAUUCUGAGCGAAUCCAGCAGCGAGUUUGAUGCUUCUCUGCACCAACAGGAUGCACGUCUGCCGUAGCCACGCGCCCUGGGGCGCCAUUGGACUGCUGCUGUUGCUCAUCUCAGCAUGCCACUGCAGCAGCAGCAGCUCUCGAACCUGAGCGUCUGCAGGCAAACACAGUUGGGAAAAUUCAGCCCCCAAAGCCAACUUUAGGAAGCCACAUAAAAUUUGGUAUACUUCUAUCAUGAAUAGACCCAGAAAAAUGUCUCAAGAAACCGUGCCCGAAAAGACACAAGAAAUGGGACAUUUUGCUUUGAAGUGGGCUUUUAGUGUAGCCAUGGCUAUUUCCAGGGGUCCACCAUUGUUUGGAAUUUUGGCCCCCGAAGGCAAUUUCGGUGGAUGUCUGUCAUAGUAAACCCACAAAAAAGUCUCAAGAAGCCAUGGCUGAAAAGACACAGCAUUUUAGGGUCAUUUUGGUUUAUUUCUAGGGGUCCUUCAAAUUUCUUGGAAAAUUCAGCCCUCAAAGCCAGUUCCACCUUAUUGUUUUGGUACACGUCAAAUAAGGUUUUUUAAAAAAAAUUUCAGAGCUCUCAGUGCCGUGAGGCACAUAAGGCCGCAAUUGCGGUUUCUGUAAUCCGUAGUUUUUACGCGACCAGGUAAUUGGCCUACUGCCCAACCCCAGCACCUGGUAUUCCUAGGUGAUCUCCCAUCCAAGUACUAGCCAGGACCGACCCUGGUUAGCUUCCGAGAUCGGACAUUCUCAGGGCAGUUCCCGGGGUCAAUCAUGAGUAGACCCACAAUAAUGCCUCAAGGAGCUAUUCCCGAAUAGACAGGAAGUCGGCCAUUUUGGUUUGAAGCGGCACUUACAAGGUCAUUUUUGGCCAUUUCUAGGGGUCUAUCAAAGAUUAACUGCUCCAACAGUUUUUCUCCGAUUGCUACUAAAUUUGAAGCAUAUAUAUAUAUACUAGACAGAUGAAUGACGCUAAUUCUCAAAAUAUUUUAGUUUAAGUCAUUGGGUGUGGGCGAAGGAUGGCGUUGGACUUAGCUGGCAGUUCUCAUCCUGUUUGUAAUGAACCGCGGCGACCUCUCAACCCAGUGGCCUCCAAGGAGGCGUGUGUGUAAUGAGAUUAGCAGCGCGGUGCACGGAGGCGGGUAUCACGGCCCCUGGCGAGCGAGCAAUUGCGCCACUGCACACCGCCUGGCACCAACGGCGCUGACCGGUCUGUGAGUUACCGUUGACGUCGUAACCCAGGCCGGCCUCCAGCUGGGCCCUGGUGUUGCCCCGGGCGCCGAGCUGCAGUAGUCCCAGGGCGGCGGCCACGCCGAACGGCGACACCACCAGGUUGGCGUCGGCGCGAGCGUCGGCCACGGCACGAUACAAGGCCACAGCGAAGCUGCCCUGUCGAUACCUCAGGCCGACCUGGAGGCUACUGCUGCUGUGGAGCGGGGACGCCAAGCAGAGUACAGCCAGGAUGGCGGACGCAGGCAGGCGACACAUCUCAAUGUUCAAAAGUUCUGGAAAACACAACAGAGAACAAACACUCAAUAUGGACCUUUAACUAUUUCCGUGCAGUUUAAGUCAUUUACCGCUGUGAGCAAUAGUAUCAGAUCAGAGCCGCCAUAAUAACUUUGAUCAGGCUUCCAUUUCACUUUGCUUUGAGCGUCAGGAAUCUUUACGUUGGUUUCAUCUUAAAUCUGAUAUACAUUUCACUAGAUACUACGUAAUCGUAAGUAUAUGCUACACAUAAUAGCAGUACUGUAAUGGCAUGUGAACUGACACAAUGAUGUUUUGGAGACUGAUCAAUUAUUUCAAUGAAUUAUGUUGUACAUAAUAACCAUGAAAAUCAUAAAUUUCACCAACAAUAAAUAUACAACAUGUUAACAAAUUAUGUUAAUCUCAUUUUUGUUGUAAAUAUCGCUGGUGUCGGGCAGAAUCCUUAUCUUCAAAAGCAUCACUUUUUAGGAAACAAACAAAAUGUGUGAUGUGUGAAAUCUUUUUUUUUAUUUUUGAUUUGUAUUUAUCUAUAAUAGACCUAUAUACUAAUAUAUAUAUAUAGUAUGUGUGUAUAUUUAUAUAUAUGUAAAUGUGUAUGUACGUCUAUAAGUAUACAUAUAUAAACAUUUACAUAUGUAUCUACGUAAAUCUAUGUAAGUAAGUGUGUGUGUGUAUAUAUAUAUAUAUAUAUAUAUGUGGUUGGAGCGACAAACACAUUUUUUCUGCUGUUUUUCAUCUAUCUACUACUGUAUUAAUCAAUAUUUAAUUGUCAAUUGAUUAUUUAUUAAUAACCAUUCAUCUUUCUACUAACCAUUAAUCAUUCAUCUUUGGAUUAUCUUCUUAAAACAGUUGCCUUAGAAUUCCAUGGUGACAUGCUGCCAAUUUUGAACAUCUCUGUUGGGAUAUUAUUACGUUAUUACCGUACUCAUUGUAACGUCGUCAUUCUGUUGUUGAUCACCGCUGGCCACUUAAUUAAGUGCUUGAGGACUCUGCACCAUUUUCACAAUUAUCGCACUACUAGUCACUUUAAAUUGCUUGAAGACUGCAUUAUUUGCACAAUUGUCUUUGUAUCAGCAUUACCUUACUGGUAACCUUUGAUCAAUGACUACUUGUAUUUGUAUGUCCUAAAUGUGUAUUUUGUCAUAGUGGCUUGUUUUCUGUACUACUAGAAAUUCCUUGUGUGUUUUAACAUACUAGGUGACUCUGAUUCUGAUGUUGUGGUUAGGUUGUGAUUAUUGUGAUUUUAAUUUUUUUUAAUUAACCAUUUUUUUAAAAAACAUUGUAUUUUUAAUAAUUAAUAUAUAGUUUUAAUAUGUAAAAAAAAAAAGGUUUUGUUUAAAAUUCUAUUUUUUUGUAUUAUAUUUUGGUUUAAGUACAAAAUCCAUUUAAUGAAUAUUCAUUUAUAAUUAUAUAAUAAAAAGUGUCAAAUGUA